UUUCCUACGGGGGGCAGCAGUGGGGAAUAUUGCACAAUGGGGGAAACCCUGAUACAGCGACGCCGCGUGCAGGAAGAAGGUUUUCGGAUUGUAAACUGCUUUAGACAGGGAAGAAACAAGACAGUACCUGUAGAAUAAGCUCCGGCUAACUACGUGCCAGCAGCCGCGGUAAUACGUAGGGAGCAAGCGUUAUCCGGAUUUAUUGGGUGUAAAGGGUGCGUAGACGGGAAAUUAAGUUAGUUGUGAAAUCCCUCGGCUUAACUGAGGAACUGCAACUAAAACUGAUUUUCUUGAGUGUUGGAGAG
rnacentral:rRNA from 1 species